AUUGAACGCUGGCGGCAUGCUUUACACAUGCAAGUCGAACGGGCUUAGGGGCUUGCUCCUAAGUUAGUGGCGAACGGGUGAGUAAUACAUCGGAACGUACCGUGUAGUGGGGGAUAACGUAGCGAAAGUUACGCUAAUACCGCAUACGAUCCACGGAUGAAAGUGGGGGACCUUCGGGCCUCACGCUAUACGAGCGGCCGAUGUCUGAUUAGCUAGUUGGUGAGGUAAAGGCUCACCAAGGCAACGAUCAGUAGCGGGUCUGAGAGGAUGAUCCGCCACACUGGGACUGAGACACGGCCCAGACUCCUACGGGAGGCAGCAGUGGGGAAUUUUGGACAAUGGGCGAAAGCCUGAUCCAGCCAUGCCGCGUGUCUGAAGAAGGCCUUCGGUUGUAAGGACUUUGUCUA
rnacentral:rRNA from 1 species